UGAUGAGAUUUUAGCCAGAGAUUUCAAUGGCUUUGACAUCUGGUUUCUUCACUUCUUCCUAAGGAACAGUAACGGUAAGCACUCCCUUCUUCCAUGGCAACCUUCUUUAU